rnacentral:rRNA from 1 species
GCUUAACACAUGCAAGUCGAACGAAGCUAGUAGCAAUAUUAGCUUAGUGGCGGAAGGGUUAGUAAUACAUAGGUAACUUACCUUUAACUCCGGAAUAACGAUUGGAAACGAUCGCUAAUACCGCAUACGCCCUACGGGGGAAAGCGGGGGACCUUCGGGCCUCGCGCGAAAAGAUGAGCCUGCGUCCUAUCAGGUAGUUGGUGAGGUAAUGGCUCACCAAGCCAACGACGGGUAGCUGGUCUGAGAGGACGACCAGCCACACUGGGACUGAGGCACGGCCCAGACUCCUACGGGAGGCAGCAGUGGGGAAUAUUGGACAAUGGGGGCAACCCUGAUCCAGCAAUACCGCGUGUGUGAAGAAGGCCUUCGGGUUGUAAAGCACUUUUAGCAGGAAAGAAAGCCUGUACGUUAAUACCGUACGGUUUUGACGUUACCUGCAGAAAAAGCACCGGCUAACUCCGUGCCAGCAGCCGCGGUAAUAC